rnacentral:rRNA from 1 species
UACAGAGGUCUCAACCGUUGUUCGGAUUCAUUGGGCGUAAAGGGUGCGUAGGCGGUCGUGCAAGUCGGAUGUGAAAUCUCAGAGCUCAACCCUGAAACUGCAUUCGAUACUGCGCGGCUAGAGUGCUGGAGGGGAGACUGGAAUUUACGGUGUAGCAGUGAAAUGCGCAGAUAUCAGGAGGAACACCGGUGGCGAAGGCGGAUCUCUGGGCCAUUACUGACGCUGAGGAGCGAAAGCGUGGGGAGCGAACAGG